rnacentral:tRNA from 1 species
ACCUGGCUGGCUCAGUCGGUAGAGCAUGAGACUCUUGAGCUUGGGGUUGUGAGUUCAAGCCCCAUGUUGGGCA